GCGCCAGACUCCUACGGGAGGCAGCAGUGAGGAAUAUUGGUCAAUGGCCGGGAGGCUGAACCAGCCAAGUCGCGUGAGGGAAGACGGCCCUACGGGUUGUAAACAUCUUUUGUCAGGGAGCAAGGUGCAGGUCGGGACCUGCUGUGAGAGUACCUGAAGAAAAAGCAUCGGCUAACUCCGUGCCAGCAGCCGCGGUAAUACGGAGGAUGCGAGCGUUAUCCGGAUUUAUUGGGUUUAAAGGGUGCGCAGGCGGAUUUUUAAGUCAGCGGUCAAAGCGUGGGGCUCAACCCAAUCCAGCCGUUGACACUGGGGAUCUAGAGUGUGCGAGAGGUAUGCGGAAUGCGUAGUGUAGCGGUGAAACGCAUAGAUAUCACGCAGAACCCCGAUUGCGAAGGCAGCAUACCGGUGCACAACUCACGCUCAGGCACGAAAGCGUGG
rnacentral:rRNA from 1 species